rnacentral:rRNA from 1 species
UACGUAGGGGGCUAGCGUUGUCCGGAAUUACUGGGCGUAAAGGGUUCGCAGGCGGCAAUGCAAGUCAGGUGUGAAAGGCGGAGGCUCAACCUCCGCAAGCAUUUGAAACUGCAUAGCUUGAGAUGUGGAGAGGUAAGUGGAAUUCCUAGUGUAGCGGUGAAAUGCGUAGAUAUUAGGAGGAAUACCAGUGGCGAAGGCGACUUACUGGACACAAACUGACGCUGAGGAACGAAAGCGUGGGGAGCAAACAGG